rnacentral:lncRNA from 1 species
AUAUGGCUUAAGAUGUCUGUGGACUCUGAAAACUCAUGUGUUCUGCUGUCAUCACGUGACUCCAGGACUUCCUGCAUCUUUCAGACAGCAGACGAGAAGGAAGAGCUCCCAGGAGUGGGAGAGGAGAGCGUUCUGGAGAUGCUGAGUUACUCCAAGUUCUCAGACCUGGAGACAUGGCUGUGCAUGCCGUCCUCUCUGCUUCUGUCCAGACCGCUGGACUCCAUCCUCAUGUGCUCAUCUUCCUCCACCCUGUCCUCUUCACUUGCAUCCAACCUCUCCUCUACCUCGCUUCCCAUGUCCUCCUCUUCCUCUCCGACCCUCGACUCCCGCUUCUCCACCUGCAGCGAACCGGGAGAGCUCGGCACACUCCUCAGGUCAUCAGAGCAAGAGUCCACCUGCCUCACACCCGCUUUAGGAAAGGAGGUGACCUUUCUGUCCACACCGCUGCUGCCCGUUCUCUCCUCCACACCUGCUGCUGCUUCAGAGCCAAGCUCACAGCCGCCAACAGGAGACUCCGCCUCCCACAGUGGCGUCAGCAUCAGGAAACGACGGCGGCUUGCUGCCAGCCCUGGAGGACUCCACUGGAACUCUACAGGUUCAGUGCUGCGGGACUUCUGGUCACCUGAUCUGCCUCCAGGGAUGGCAGCCGGAGGUGGAGCCAGAGAACCAGGUGGAGGGGGAAGGAGCCUCCCUCUGAGCGAGAUGGGCAGAGGAACACCUGUGUGGGCAACAGGUGAACGGGUGGCUCUGAGGAAGACUGUGUCUGCUGACGAUGAGCUGCUGCGGCUGGCUGGUGGAGGUCCAAGACUGCUGAACCGAGCCGAGCAGAACCGAAAGAAGCUGCGCGGCAUCCAUAGCCUGGGAACAACAGGAAGAUACGACAGCAGAAAAAAGUCGGACAGUAAGAUCUCCCGAUUGGCUCAGAGGUGGAACCAGAAGUCGGUAGGAGAUGCGCUGAUCCAAGACCUGAAGCCCCUGUACCACACAGGAACCUCUCGAUCCUCGCUCAGCCUGGACAGGUUAGCAAACACACCCAUCUUAUACACACACUUACACCUGUCACACUCACUGCAAACUUCUGUUGGCAACUGA